UGCCAGCCGCCGCGGUAAUACGGAGGGGGUUAGCGUUGUUCGGAAUUACUGGGCGUAAAGCGUACGUAGGCGGAACAGAAAGUUAGAAGUGAAAUCCCUGGGCUCAACCUAGGAAUUGCUUUUAAAACUUCUGUUCUGGAAUUAAGGAGAGGAAAAUGGAAUAUCCAGUGUAGAGGUGAAAUUCGUAGAUAUUGGAUGGAACACCAGUGGCGAAGGCGAUUUUCUGGACUUAUAUUGACGCUGAGAUGCGAAAGCAUGGGUAGCAAACGGGAUUAGAUA
rnacentral:rRNA from 1 species